rnacentral:lncRNA from 13 species
GUGACUCGUUAAGAGUCUAUCUUGUCAUUUCAGACCCCUUCCAAAUGUGAAUGACUCCUUUCAUGUGGUUUCAGACACCUCCUGAUAGUGAUGUCAGCCCUCCCCAUUAUGAUCAGAGCCUCCUCCUUAUAGUGAUGUCAGCCCUCCCCAUUAUGAUCAGAGCCUCCUCCUUAUAGUGAUGUCAGCCCUCCCCAUUAUGAUCAGAGCCUCCUCCUUAUAUGAUGUCAGCCCUCCCCAUUAUGAUCAGAGCCUCCUCCUUAUAGUGAUGUCAGCCCUCCCCAUUAUGAUCAGAGCCUACACCGAGUCUGGCCGGUGUAGGCCGUCAUUUUAAAUAAGAAUUUGUUCUUACUGAUUUUUGGAACCAUGAUAACCAGCAUUUGCAGAAAAUGUCAUUCUGGGACCAGAACCACAGGAAGAGUGUAACGAUUGUCUUCCUCUUCUGAUGAGGAAUAGGAUGGAUCGGACCAAAGUGCAGCGUGGUACGUAUUCAUAAUCAUUUUAAUAAAGAUGAAUACUGAACAACAAACCGACAAACGAACAAGUUCUGUAAGGUGCAACAGAAACACUAAACAGAAAAUAACUACCCACAACCCAUAGUGGGAAAACAGGCUGCCUAAGUAUGGUUCUCAAUCACAGACAACGAUCGACAUCUGCCUCUGAUUGGGAACCAUACCAGGCCAAACACAUAGAAAUAGAAAACAUAGAAUGCCCACCCCAACUCACGCCCUGACCAAACUAAAAUAGAGACAUAAAGGUGAAUAAGGUCAGGGCGUGACAGAGGGUUUUGGCCUGUAGGAGCCCUACUCCCGUUGGGAUAAGCUGGUAGCAUAGCUAGCCGUAUACAGUGCCUUCGGAAGGUAUUCAGACUUUUUGACAUUCUAAAAGUGAUUAAAUCAUUUAUUUUCAACCUACACACUAACUUAUAAUGACAAAAUAAAAACAGGUUUUUAGACACAUUUGCUAAUUUAUUAAAAAAUAAUAAUAAUAAAAAAAAUGAAUUCACCUUUAAAAACCUGUUUUCGCUGAGUCAUUAUGGGGUAUUGUGUGUAGAUGGCUGAGGAUUUUUUAUUGAAUCAACUUUCGAAUAAGAAUGUAACCUAACAAAAUGUGGGGAAAAGUCAAGGGGUCUGAAUACUUUCCGAAGGUACUGUAGAAGUCGUUUUUAAGUGUAAUGCAGUUGAUUGGUGACGAUGACAUGAACAUGUGUUGACAUUAGCAUCUAUACACACAUUAUACGUUUACCUGACCAUAGUGUGAAAUACACAUAGAUACAAUAGCUUACAUGUAG